rnacentral:ncRNA from 2 species
CAUAAUCUUCAGGGCAGGGUGAGAUUCCCGACCGGCGGUUAAAGUCCGCGAGCCGAUAGGCUGAACUGGUGAGAUUCCAGUACCGACAGUAAAGUCUGGAUGGAAGAAGGUUUAU